GCAGCUGUGAGCUGGAACCUGUCACCCUGAUCCGCUACAGACUCUGGCCUGCCACCCCCCAUCUGCCGCAAACAGCAAUUUCAGUGGACCUCCUGCGCCAGUUUGCAGCCCUGUAGCUGGAGUGUGGGGUGUCUUUGAGGGGGAUUACCUUGGCUUCCCAUAGAUCCAAUGCAUGCUGGAAGACAGUUGACCUCUACCGGAAGCUCAUAAAUGAAUCAUUUGAGGAGUUCAAACACUGGCAGUUUGAACGAGAGACUGUCAGGAAGUUGGCGCCACUGACCUCGGACGGAACAAAGUGUCCUCUCUGUCCACAGGGGUGCCCGGGAUUUCAAGCCGGGGAUGCGCUGUGAUCCAAACCCGAAACCCAGAAACUGGACAUAACUGGUGUGUUUGGGAUGGCGUGCAGGCACGAGCAUCCGCUGAAGUUCCUGAACCUGAUCGAGAGGAGAGAAGCUUGCAAAUGCUGUGUUCCUGCUGGGGGACCUGAAAGCAAUGCAGGGAUCAAACAUCACGUUUCUUCACUAUGACAUUGCAUGCCAGCUGAAGCCUCAUUUACAGAAAAACAGUCCCGAUCUAAUGGUGGACACCACAUUUGCAGUGCCAGCCUUUCAUGCCUCUGCUCAUGAUGCUGACUGUCAG